ACAUGCAAGUCGAGGGGAAACGACAUCGAAAGCUUGCUUUUGAUGGGCGGCGACCGGCGGAAGGGUGCGUAACGCGUGAGCGACAUGCCCGUUGCCCGGGGACAACCGGUGGAAACGCCGACUAAUCCCCGAUGGGACGGAGGCCCUCAUGGGUCUCUGUUGAAAGUUACGGCGGCGACGGAUUGGCUCGCGUCCGAUUAGCUAGUUGGCGGGGUAACGGCCCACCAAGGCUACGAUCGGUAGGGGUUCUGAGAGGAAGGUCCCCACAAUGGAACUGAGACACGGUCCAUACUCC
rnacentral:rRNA from 1 species